UUUUUAUAGAAAAUAGAACAUUGCAGUGCUAACAAGUGCAUCCUAAGUAUUUACAAUAUUAAAUCAGUAAAACCAGUUGGAAGACUAUCAUUUUUCAUUCAUUUAAGGCUCUUUAUUAGUAAAAUUUGUAGCCAAAGAGAACCUUGUUACUACCCAACAUGCACAAUGCAAGUUCUCUACUCUAGGAGCCUUUUUUUUCUUUUAUCUCAUGUAUUUUCUUAUAAAACCUGAUGUGGUAUGAUAACAGCAGAAGAUUUUAAAUGCAAUGAUAUUUCCAAUGAUGUUUCCAAAUUUACAUCCAUUCUUGAGCACAAGAGCAUAUAACAAUUAGCAACACUAAACUAAAAUAGCCAAAAAGCAACAAUUAUACACAAUUGCACGCUAUAAGAAUAUAAGAACUGAAUCUAUAAUAGUAGCAUAUUAUAGGCACUGAGAAUAUCACGUAACAGGUAGCGGCCGUAAGGUUCACCAUUUCCAGAUGUAAAAAGAAACAGUAGCAGUUGUUAUAAAACAGAACCAACAACAAAACUCUACUUGCAUCUCGGAAACUAAAUAUCCAAUUCACAAUUAAUCACAUUAUAUUUAAACAAAACAUCGGCAGCCUGAACUCCCUAAAAUUAUAAGAGAAACUAUACAUAUCUCAAGUUUAACAAACCAAGAACCCUAGUUAUUUAGACACUGCCCAGAUAAAAUAGUAUAAAUUGGACACAAUAUUUUUUGAAUUAAAAUUGUCUAGAUCCCAAAAACACACAGUGGAAGUGCCUGCAUGAGUGACUUGUCUAUUGAAUUUUUGUUUGAUUACAUUCAAUUCAAUCCUAUCAAACAUGCAAUGAGAUCAUGGGUUGCAGUUAGAAAUAUCAGCAAUGAACCUGAAGUUAAUCCUGAAACCUGUUUCUCUAUGAUCUGCAGCAAAUGGUACCUUUCUCAUUAAUUCAGAAACCAAACCAUAAUCUAUAUCAUCAUUUUUACUCCCCAUGUACUAGUACUUGGUUCAUCCCUAUCCUCUGUUAGGGCAUUUGAAAUUUUUUAUAAAUUCCAUAAAUAUGACAAGGCCUUUACACUGAAUAAGAUAUUUGUAUCUCAUCAGCAAGAAGACAGAGCAGUCAAUAACAAAAAGGUUUAAUGAUUACAAGACAACAGUAGCAUUAGAUAAAUCAAAAUAAACUGGGAAAAACCUUUUAAUAACUGACUAAACAGAAAAAGGGGGGGGAGGGGAGUGGGGGGGAGAUAAAGAAGCAGUAUAUGCAUUCAGUAAAGAAGGAGAAC
rnacentral:misc_RNA from 1 species